GACGAACGCUGGCGGCGUGCUUAACACAUGCAAGUCGAGCGGUAAGGCCCUUCGGGGUCCACGAGCGGCGAACGGGUGAGUAACACGUGAGUAAUCUGCCCAUCACUUCGGGAUAACUCCGGGAAACCGGUGCUAAUACCGAAUAUGACCACUUCAGGCAUCUGAUGGUGGUGGAAAGUUCCGGCGGUGAUGGAUGAGCUCGCGGCCUAUCAGCUUGUUGGUGGGGUAGUGGCCUACCAAGGCUUCGACGGGUAGCCGGCCUGAGAGGGUGACCGGCCACACUGGGACUGAGACACGGCCCAGACUCCUACGGGAGGCAGCAGUGGGGAAUAUUGGACAAUGGGCGAAAGCCUGAUCCAGCAACGCCGCGUGAGGGAUGACGGCCUUCGGGUUGUAAACCUCUUUCAGCAGGGACGAAGCGCAAGUGGCGGUACCUGCAGAAGAAGCACCGGCCAACUACGUG
rnacentral:rRNA from 1 species